UGAAAUAAUAUUUUGAAAGGAUGAGGGGCCAUGAAAAAUUUACCACAGGUUUAGAAAUAUCUUCCAGCCCCCCCCCCCAGCAUUAAUAAUGACUGCUGCCUAAAUCAGUGCUCCGUUUUAGUGGGAAAUAUCCUACUUAAAAGCUGAAAACUAAAUAAAUGAUGCAACUAAAAUAAAAAAGCAAUUGUUGACCGAUUUUUACUUGAUAGAUAGAUAGAUAAACUUUAUUUAAACACGCUGA